rnacentral:lncRNA from 1 species
UAAAACAUAUUGGGAAGAAAUAGAAAGAGUGGUUUUUAACUCUAGUAAUUGCACCGCAGUUCAAAUUAAUUUGUUAGUUUUUCUAGGUUCUCUGGUGAUGCACCAAACUCCUAAUUCCCCCACCUGGUAGUUUUGAGGGGAAUUAGGCAAGCGAGCAUAUUCUAAGUCCCUUUAUCAAAAACAAGGUAAAAUAAAAUGAUGUUCUUAGGCUUAAUAAAUCAGUAAUAUUGCAUCUGACACGAUCAUAAAUUUAAAAAAAUAAAGCCAUGCACAAAAAGAAUUAUCUGUAAGCAAGUAUGUAUUCUAAAUAGAAAUAAUUUUUUUGGAGUGCACAUCGUGGCUCAGCGGAAACAAAUCUGACUAGCAUCCGUGGGGACGCAGGUUUGAUCCCUGGCCUUGCUCAGUGGGUUAAAGAUCUGGUGUUGCUGUGGUGCAGGUUGCAGACACGGCUCAGAUCCCAUGUUGCUGUGGCUGUGGUGAAGGGCAGCGGCUACAGCUCUGAUUCAACCCCUAGCCUGUGAACCUCCAUAUGCGGAUGUGGCCCUAAAAAGACAAAAGAAAAAAAAAAGAAUUUUUUUCUUUUUAUGGCCGCACCUGCAGCAUAUGGAAGUUCCUAAGCUAGGGGUCAAAUGGGAGUUGCAGGUGUGGGUCACUACGUCAGCUUCUUAACCCACUAAGCCACAAUGGGAACUCCCUGAAUAGAAAGGAUUCAGCGGAAGCCGUAUCCGUUAGGAAACGGAACCACUAUGGUGACAUGGGAUAUGCAUUUAUUAUAUACCUUACACAAUUGUGGGAGCUUAUGAAGACACAAAGCAUGUGAGAAGUGGUUGCUUUUGCAUCUGGUAUGGAGCCUAAAGCCAUCAGAGCAGAGGUGACAGUGAGAAGAAAAGCUGGAUGUGAAGUGGAAACGAGCAAGGACAGAACCUGUGUUGGAAUCCUGUCUCCUCCAGCCUCAGAGACCUGGGAAAACCAUGGAAGGAGCUGGCACACGACACUGCAAAGCUGUGCACCUGACCCUGAGGGUGAAGAUGUGGGUCUGGUGGGAGGCAAAGGACCACAGCCCGGAGGCUGCCUGAUGUCACCUGGCUGAGCCAGGAGACCUGCACCCAGCACCUGUGGCCCCACACAGCCUUCUUAGCCUAGUAACGCCACUGCUCCACUUCUGCCUUCCAGACCUCACCUAGGCUUCCCUUACAGCCAAAUGUCACAAAGAACCAUGCAGAAAAGGGAAUUCUGGGAAUGGCUUUCCAUCUGAGCUAAACUGACAGCUAAUACAAAACCACCGCAGAAACUAGCCAACAGAAAGAGAAAUGUCUAAAGUCAGACAGCCCCUUGGUUCUGAGUUCUCCAAGCAUACUUUCUGCGGCAGGUAUGUCUGCAGAAUCCAGUCUGCACAUGGAUUACCUUUAAGGCAUUUUCUUCUGUGUUUAUGCAGAUUUUCUUCUCUACACAACUCUAGGUUGUUGGGUUUGCGUAUAUGCCAAAACCUAAAGCUUCAGCAGGAGGCUUCUCUCAAAAAGUUCCAAGAGUCAUGUCAUUUAAGCUGCUGAACUUAUCUCUUCAAAACCUAUAUCAUCUUGCAAUAUAAAAGUUAAUGAGAUUAACUCAGCACAUGGCUGGCUGAUGUAAAAUGAUGAACAUAUUUUCUGCCACAAUAGAUUCCAAACUCCAUUUUUAGAUUUCCGUAGGUGCUCCAGAAGGUUCGGAUAAUGUAAUGUUAUGGGUGGGGGGAGCAAAAGCCUGUUUAGAUGGGAGCUGCCUUGCCAGUAUCUCUUUGAUUGAUUGAUUGAUUGAUUGAUUGCAUUGUUUUGAGACUGUUGCUAGUAAGGAAGUAUGCACUGGUGCUGUGUGCAGUGGUAAGCUUAUUCAUGGGCGAAGUAUUCAACCAGCUGCUCCAGCCAGAACUCCUGCAAUUACUGGGAGGUUGGCCCACACAGCCUCUAAGGCACCUUCCAUUUUUGAGAGUCUUUGAGUUUUUAAUCAGUGACUCUCAACCUCUUUCUUUGCCCCAACUCACUUGAUAAAUGUCUACAGGCUUCCCCCUGCUCCAUAAUUCCAGUUUUUUCUCUCUCACAUAAACAACACAUUAAACUACAAGUCAGUGAUCUAAUUUUUAAAAGAAAUUAUAAAUAGAUUAUCUAUUAUCUCUUCUUUAAGUAUUGGGAAGAAAAAACCUUGUCUUUCCUAUAGACGCAAGAAAACUGUGACUCAAAUAACAGAUCCCAACCAUAUCUCAACCAUAUUUCACUAUUCUAACCAUAUUUUUUUAAUUUACUGCUCAGUAAAGCAAGAAAACAGAAGUCUAGAAUUUACACAAAUACCCACAAAAGCAAAUAAAAGUGGAAAUACCCAUAAAAAGGGAAGAAAAUGCAUAAUUUUAUUAAAUUUCCUUUGGUAUACAAGAACUGAUGAAAUUAGACAAUACUGUGUUAUGUUUGAAUGCAUUAGUUAUACCAUUGUGCAUGAUCUAAUUUGAUCAUAUAGAGGCAUUUAUUUAAGUAGCAUGCAUUAUUUGACAUCUAUGCACUUGGGUUAGGGUGAUUAUAUACACAAAAUUAUAUAUGUGAUUAUAGGUACAGUACACUAUAUAUACAAAAGUGGCUAAGAUUACUACCCACCAAUGGAUCUACAAUCUAGUAGAUCUAGUGGAAGAGAUAAUACAGAGAUGUAAGCAAAGGGAGAGGAGGAAGUGUGGAAAGUGGACCUAAUAUGGAAAUGGAAAUAUUACAGUUCUAAAAAGAUGAAGUUCUAAAAUUCUAUUCUACUCUUCCACAUUUAGAAUGACAAACACAAAACCAAACCCAAAAACCUGACAAUACCAAGUGUUGGCAAGGAUAUGAGGCAACUGGAGCUCUCGUAUGUUGCUAGUGGGAAUACAAAAUGGUACAACCGCUAUGGAAGAAUAUUGGGGCAGUUACUUAUAAAGGUAAACAGUCACAUCCCAUAUAACCUUGCAAUUCCACUCCUAUUUACUUCAGCGAAAUAAACAUCUAUGGUAACACACAAAAAACUAUUUAUAGUGGAUUUAUUCAUAAUAACGCCAAACAGGAAAUACCAAAACUAUCCCUCAACCGGGCAAUAGAAUACUAGCCAGCAGUGAAAAGGAAUUAUUGGUACACACAACAACACAGAUGAAUCUCAAAUACAUUAUGCCAAAUAAAGAACCCAGCCCAAAGUAGCUCCCUACUUUUAUCCUUACAUGCCAUUCUGGAAAAAGCACAACCAGGAGCAAGGCACAGAUGAAUGGUUAAACCUGGGGAGAGUCUGGCUACAAAGGAAUAGUUAAUUCCCAAAGGAAUUUCUUUGGGGGAUGAUAGGAUAGUUUUUGUAUCCUUUUUUUUCCUUUUCUUUCUUUUUUUUCUUUUCUUUUUUGGCCACCCUGUAGUGUAUGGAGUUCCUGGGCCAGGAAUCAGAUCCAAACCACAGUUGCGACUGACAACACAGCUGUAGCAAUGCUGGAUCCUUUGACCCACUGUGCGGGACUGGGGAUUCAACCUGCAUCCUGGUGCUGCAGAGACACUGCCAAUCCCACUGCCAAUCCAAAACAGAGAGAACUCCUAGUUUUGUAUCUUGAGUGUGGUGGUGGUUAUACAACCAUACAUUUGUCAAAAGUCAUAGAACCGUAUACCAGGAAAAAAACUAAAUAUAACUGUAUAUAAAUUUUUCCUAACUCUUAAAAAAUAAAUUCAGCCCCAACUCCUGGUCCAGAGUUUAGCAUCCUCCUGCUUCUGAGAUCAGAGAAGCAGGCCAUAUGGAGAGGAUGCUAAUCCUAUUCUCUGUUUAUUGACACAGAAAAAAUAUGCAGACUGAACAGAUUUGUGCUCUCGUGUCCAGAGAUCUUGGGUGAUUGCAGAUCUCAACACUCCCUUUAAAUGGAUGGAGGCAAGUAUCCCGGGACCCUGGCUAUCAGCUGCCAAUUCUGUUGCCUAAGGUGAUAUUAUGUUAACAUAUGGUGGCUGCGUGUGAGAGGAGGGUGAGCUUGCUGUACCAUCUCCUGUCUGUGUGGGAGGGGGGUGUGCUGCUCUCUCUCUCUCUCAAUCUCAGGUUCACAGUCCCUGAAGGUAACUAUUUAUUCCAAGAUUAUUUAUUAAGGUCCUAUAAUAUGAGGAGGGCUCUACCCCACGCUGUGAGCACUAAGACUGAGCUACUACGUGUCUCGGUCAAAAAUGGAGCGUCCAACCGAGGGUGAGCAAUAAGACACGUGACUCAAUAGCGAUCAUUCAACCCAAUUAUGAUAAAUCCUAUCAUAGCGGUUUUCUCACCAGGCCAUGGCUGUUGAGAGGAGGAAGUCUUCACUUCCUGCCAGGAACAUCAGGAAAGGGUUAUUUGGCAGAGAGGGGGCAUUUGUCCUCAACCUUAAGGUUCUUCGUUCCUUAGCUUGGGUCCUGUCUGGCUUGUUUCCUAGUUUUCCCCCAGAUCCAGUCCAGCCACUGAUAGGCUAUGAAUACACCAGUGUUUGAGAAUUAAUUAAUAAAAGACGGAAAAGAAAGACACACCCCAAGGGACAUGGCCUGAACACAGACAUGCAGGCAGAUGUUUAAGCGUGUCUGAGAAACUGAAUGUUGUUCAGUUUGGCUGGAGUACGGGGGAGCUUGUGAGAAGCAAUGUUUCAAAAUUGCAUUGAAAUUAAACCAGAGAUGUUCUUCAGUGCCACGUUAAAUAACUGGAACUUUUCUCGGGAGAGGAAGGUACUGAAGGAUCUUGAGCUGAGAGAGAUGUGAUCGGUCUGUGUUUUAAAAUGAUGUCAUUUGACAGUGAUUAGGAGAGGGUGACAAUGAGUGAUUAUAUAAGCGGUAUUGGAGCGAAAUAGACAGACUGAGCCUGAGGCACGUCUACCAGCUCAAGCAUGACUUGUGGAAGGCUGGGGUUGGAAGACGGCACUCGGGAAACAGGAGUCAGAAGCCCUGGCAUCAAGUCCCACUUCUGCUUCUAAGCUAUGGGACAAAUCGUGUAAGUUUCUGAAGCCUCAGUCUUUGUAUCGAUGAGGUUCAUGUGCAAAUGAUAAGAAAGAAUAUCUGUGUGGGCUGUGUAUAUUGUCACGAACUCUAUGAAUGUGAGAAGUAUUAUUAUUUGAGUCUCAGCUGUCAGAAAGACUGCUACUGCAAAUAUUUCUGGCAGAGAUGGGACAGGAAUGGGUGACCGCAUGAUUAUAGGGAGUGAAGGAGCUGAAACUAUCAAAAUCACUCCAGGAUUUUAAGUCAGAGCUGGCUGGGAGACCAGUGGUUACCUUAACAGAAAACAGAGCUGUCAAGAGAGAAAGUUUAUUUUGGAAGAAUGAUGUCAAAUCCUGGGGUGGAUGUUGAGUUUGGGAACUUCCAUAAGCCAUGGGUGCGGUC